rnacentral:rRNA from 1 species
AGUGAACGCUGGCGGUAGGCCUAACACAUGCAAGUCGAACGGCAGCACAGUAAUAGCUUGCUCUUACGGGUGGCGAGUGGCGGACGUGUGAGGAAUACAUCGGAAUUCACUUUUUCUUGGGGGAUAACGUAGGGAAACUUACGCUAUUACCGCAUACGACCUACGGGUGAAAGCAUUUGAUCUUAGGACCUUGCGCGAUUGAAUGAGCCGAUGUCGGAUUAGCUAGUUUGCGGGGUAAAGGACCACCAAGGCGACGCUACGUAUCUGAUCUGAGAGGAUGGUCAGCCAAACUGGAACGGCGACACGGUCCAGACUCCUACGGGAGGCAGCAGUGGGGAAUAUUGGACAAUGGGCGCAAGCCUGCUCCAGCCAUACCGCGUGGGUGAAGAAGGCCUUCGGGUUGUAAAGCCCUUUUGUUGGGAAAGAAAAGCAGCAGGUUAAAACCCUGCGGUUCUGACGGUACCCAAAGAAUAAGCACCGGCUAACUUCGUG